rnacentral:rRNA from 1 species
AUUGAACGCUGGCGGAAUGCUUUACACAUGCAAGUCGAACGGUAGAGGGGGCAACCCCUUGAGAGUGGCGAACGGGUGAGUAAUAUAUCGGAACGUGCCCAGUCGUGGGGAUAACGUAGCGAAAGUUACGCUAAUACCGCAUACGAUCUAAGGAUGAAAGCGGGGGAUCGCAAGACCUCGCGCGAUUGGAGCGGCCGAUAUCAGAUUAGGUAGUUGGUGGGGUAAAGGCUCACCAAGCCAACGAUCUGUAGCUGGUCUGAGAGGACGACCAGCCACACUGGAACUGAGACACGGUCCAGACUCCUACGGGAGGCAGCAGUGGGGAAUUUUGGACAAUGGACGCAAGUCUGAUCCAGCCAUUCCGCGUGCAGGAUGAAGGCCCUCGGGUUGUAAACUGCUUUGUACGGAACGAAAGGUUCUCUUAAUACGAGGAGCUCAUGACGGUACCGUAAGAAUAAGCACCGGCUAACUACGUGCCAGCAGCCGCGGUAAUGUGACU